rnacentral:rRNA from 1 species
UGCAAGUCGAACGGCAGCACGGGUGCUUGCACCUGGUGGCGAGUGGCGAACGGGUGAGUAAUACAUCGGAACAUGUCCUGUAGUGGGGGAUAGCCCGGCGAAAGCCGGAUUAAUACCGCAUACGAUCUACGGAUGAAAGCGGGGGACCUUCGGGCCUCGCGCUAUAGGGUUGGCCGAUGGCUGAUUAGCUAGUUGGUGGGGUAAAGGCCUACCAAGGCGACGAUCAGUAGCUGGUCUGAGAGGACGACCAGCCACACUGGGACUGAGACACGGCCCAGACUCCUACGGGAGGCAGCAGUGGGGAAUUUUGGACAAUGGGCGAAAGCCUGAUCCAGCAAUGCCGCGUGUGUGAAGAAGGCCUUCGGGUUGUAAAGCACUUUUGUCCGGAAAGAAAUCCUUGGCUCUAAUACAGUCGGGGGAUGACGGUACCGGAAGAAUAAGCACCGGCUAACUACGUGCCAGCA